UACGAAGGGUGCUAGCGUUGUUCGGAUUUACUGGGCGUAAAGCGCGUGUAGGCGGGACGUUAAGUUGGGGGUGAAAGCCCAGAGCUCAACUCUGGAACUGCCUUCGAUACUGGCGGCCUGGAGCAUGAUAGAGGCGAGUGGAAUUGCGAGUGUAGAGGUGAAAUUCGUAGAUAUUCGCAGGAACACCAGUGGCGAAGGCGACUCGCUGGAUCAUUGCUGACGCUGAGACGCGAAAGCGUGGGGAGCAAACAGG
rnacentral:rRNA from 1 species